UCGUAGUGAACCUGCGGAAGGAUAU
rnacentral:rRNA from 1 species